rnacentral:lncRNA from 1 species
AAUAAAAAUAUUCAAUAAAAUAUUCUAUUUUCUUAUAAAACAAUAUUUAUAGAGUUACCGGUAAAUAAUUUUUGUAGCGUAAAAGCUAAAUAAAUUCAUACAUACUAUAACACAGAUAACCAAAGUAUAAAAUUUAAUUUACAGUGACACGUGGGCCCACGAACGACCAAAAGUAUCUAAAGCGGUAAACCUACAGUUUUUGAGGAUGCAAGUCCAACUGUAGCCCUCAACGAAAUGAGCUAUCUACCAACUAUCCUGAGCCUGAAAUGGGUGGAAAGGAGGGUGGUGAGAUUAUAUAAUCCUAGUGAGUAAACAAAUACCAUCUAAAAUAUCAAAGCUAAGUAAGUGGAGACAGAUAAAAUAGUUUAACAUACUGUAAUUCAUCACCUUUCAACUCAUUUCAACAAAAUAAAAUCAAUUCAUAUAAAUCGAGUAAUCAACAUGGCUUAUGAAUUUCUUAAAACUUUGGCUCGUGCCAAAAUCAUUCUCAUACUCAGUUAUCAUGGAUACCUUGACCGAGGGCUAUCCCAAUUGAGACCGCCAAGGUUGUUAAAAAGUUAUGUACGCAUAAAUCAUAUUUUUAUUUUGAAAGCAUAGCCGUUCCUUGGCGUUGGCUGAGUUCACCCUCACGUGGUGGUUUGGCGUGAAGUGAACUCUAAAGUUUUAACCUCAGGAGUUAUCCAACCGCGCCUCUCAUACUGAGGUAUGAAUAUAAUAGGGUUACCUUGCCCCUUUAAUAGGCUGGUCCACGAAACCCGUCCACUACAGCGACCAAUUAAUAACCCACCAUACAAUAAAAUUUGCGAUAACAUGACAUGGUAAUUAUUUUAUUUUACAGCCUCUCAAGGCAAAUUAACAGUUCAUACAUUUUCAACACAAAUACCAAUUUAGCCAUUCAUGCCAAUAUUAUCAUAAGCCAUUCAAUUCAAACCAUGAUUUAUAACACAACAAUUAGUCUCCAAUUACUCCAUUUUCAAAACCAUCUUUCAAUUUCAAGACAAUUUUAUAAAAUCAUUUUCAUUUAAUCACAUUUUGCUUAUAAAACAUAAAGAUUUACCAUUUAAACUCAUUUUCCAUAAAAUCACAAAAUCGGAUAAAAACCACUUUAGAUAAUUAAGACGAUAGUAAGGUUACUCGCUAUUUCGGGAGUCGAAUUUCGAGUACUCCGAUUCUUGAUCCUUGGGUACUAUCUCUUUACUUUUGCCAGAAU